UAUUUUUCUGCUGGAUCUUAGAAGACAGUGGCUGUCUUUGCAUUAUCACAGACUGUUUCCAUGGAAAUGAUUGUGAUUUGAGAAACGUAUCAGCAACAUGCAAAAAAUUGCUCUGUUCAGAGAAUUCCCUUCCCUUCACUGCUCUGGGCAUUGUACAGUCUUGCAUACUGUACCCAUCGGAAAAGAUGCACAAACCAUCACAGAAACCUGGAUGAGAAAGUUCCACACUUCCCGGAUGGGCAAAGUUCUUUGAUUCAUCUUUAUUCUUUUAUUUCUUACUAAAAUAAGCUGUGUUCUAAGUAUUUUUCAGAAAAUUUAAAAUAUAAAUGCAAUAAAAUGGCCCAUAUUCCCAUCAACCAGGGAAUAGAAGUCAUUAAAGGCAAGAAGCUCAUAAUCAGAUUUACAUUAUAUAAAGAUUGUUCUGAAGAAGUAUACAGAUUAAAGCCCUGGUGGAAAGAGAAAUAUCACCUUGAAGGAAGGCUCAAUACUUCAAAGAUGGAGGGAGAGAAGAAGAAGGAGGGAAAGGAAGAGUUGGGGUGGAGAAAA